CAUCCCUUGCUCUAUCUGUCUUCUUAUCUUGGGGUGCCUCGUGUUUACAAGAAACGCGUACGUCCUUUCUAGAAAUUAGCAAGCAGAAUUCAGAAACAAGUGUGUCCAUGUGACAUAAGCAUGCUUCUUAUAAUUUGCUAUUGCAGUGGUUCCCACCUCCUUUGAAGAUUUUAUUCAUUUAUAACCUUCCUCUCUGCUCCCUCACAACCUUACUACAAAGCCUCGCCAGAUUUCUAGAAGUGUUUCUGAGAAUUUUGCAGAUUUGAAGGAGGUUCUGGGCUGCUGUAAAGGCAGGCUAGAUAAUCAGCUCCCACAAGGCUGCAGUUUGUAACUGGAGUCUCAGAAAUCAAAAAUUCCACUCUAUAAUUAUCACAGAUGAGAACUGUGCCUCCACAGCAUGUAUCCAUUAUGGGGAAGGAAAGUGGAAGAUCGAGAUAGCUGGUUUUCAUGUUCCUGCAGUGCUGGAUUUUUUCUUCUUCUUUUUUUUUUUUAUUUUUUUAAGACAGUUUCUGUCACCCAGGCUGGAGUACAGUGGUGUAAUCAAAGCUCACUGCAGCCUCAACCUCCUGGGCUCAAGUGAUCCUCCUGCCUCAGCCUUCAAAGUUGCUGGGACCACAGGCAUUCGCCACCAUGCCUGGCUAAUUUUUGUAUUUUUUUUUGCAGAGACAGGGUUUCAUUAUGUUGCCCAGGGUGGUCUUGAACUCCUGAACUUGCGCAAUCUGCCAGCCACGGCCUCCCAAAGUGCUGGGAUUAUAGGCAUAAGCCACCAUGACUUGCUGGGUAUUCAAAUCACAACUUGGCUCUUACAGAAACUUUCUUAUUUGCAAAAGAAAAUCUGCAAAGAUCAGGAAACAGGGCUGCUCCAUGCUUUCCACCUCCACCCCUACCCCUACCCCAUGCCCAGCUCUCCCCAGCUUCUCCAGGGACCAGACAUUCUGACAAAUGGCUAGUCUAGGGUUCUAUGGACCAAGGCAACCAGAGGUUGAUUCUUCUCCCUGCUGCUACCUCUAACACAAUCCCAAGUGGGAAAACAUCUCCUUCUCAUUGUUUAAAUAAUACCACGUGUCUGUCCUGGCAGACAGAUUUUUUUGGUGUUGAUUGAUUAGUUUGGUUUGGUAACCCCUCAUGUUCAAUUCUGCAUGAUUUAAGCCAAAAGAAGGUUGUUUACUCAUUAGGAAAUAUAAAAUGGUAUUAACCAGCAACCUCUUAACUUUUCCAGUCCCCCGCAUCAAGCUCCAUGGCCUUAAUUACUCAGUCCUUGGUCUAAGGAGACACAUAGAUACCUGUGUUCUCCUCCAUUUAACAGCCAGGGACCAGCCACUGUGUGAUUUUUAGAACUCAGUGUUUUACACUGACUUUGAGAUAUCUCAGAGACAAACCUUCGGUCCACCAACAGCAAGUGUUUACGUCCUCGAGGAAGGCAUUUUAAACUAACCUUAUUCAUCUCGUUUUUCUUACCCAUGUUUUUCUUUCUCCAAAAUUAUUUUUUGGGCACUUUAGAUAUAAGCUGCCUUAUAUCCUCUUUAAGACAAUAGAUAAACAAAGCAAGCAAACUCCUUGAUACCUUCAAUUAAAUCUCAUGUAAACCAAACCAACACCUCUGGGGUCAUUAUAUACUCAUGGCCACAACACUCCACAGUUGUGCUGAUGGGGCAGGUUGUACACUGCCUAACUCUAGAGGCUGUCAUUCACAUUUACAGACAUUAUUUUUAUAUUAUGACAAACUUGUGGGAAGCAUUAGUAAUCGUCUUGAGGAAAUGGUGGCUUUUUCUGAUUUGCACAAAAGUGCAGUUUAGAAUAACAGCAAGACUAGACAUAUUGCCUUAAUCAUAAUUUUGCAAUUUAAAAUUGACCAUCUUAAGCUUUGUGUCAUAGAGCCUCUUCAUUUUAUGGCUUUUAUCACAAUUAACUAGUACUGGGUUUCUGGAUUUCUGUUGUGGCAAUUCAUCACAUUAUAGCAUGACUCAGACACGUGCCUCCUUCCAUGAUAGUUGUUCGACAACUUCAUACAUUCUAUAGGCUACCUACAAAUUCCUCCUUGUACCACUACCUAUACUUUCAUUUAAAUGUUAAAAUGAAGAGGGCUCUUACUCUUUUUUUAGAUUCCUCCUGAGUGAUCGGUGCAGGAGGUGUACUUGAUACAGCUGUGAAUUACAUUCCUAAAGAACUAUCUGGCUUUCUGGUUAUAAUCAAGCCAAAGAACACGUGGGCUUCAGAUGUUCUAAUGAGCACUUCUUGUUACUGGGCAUUCUGUUCCUGGCCUCUCCUGCAGAAAGAACAUCAUGACUUUUUAUUGUCAAAUGAGCAGAGAGAGCUCCACAAAUUUGAAUGAGAGUGAAUGUUUGGGGAAAUCUAUUUGAAAUUCGUAGAUCAUUUCUUAUUUCCUUGGACUCAUUUUAAGAAUGUUAGUUAGAAGCAAGUUUAAGAAAUUCUACUUCUAUUACAGAACGUUAUGCCCAUGACUUCCCCCACAUAUCAUUCUGAGCAGGAGGAGGAAGGCAAAAUGGAGACAUUUUCAUACUGAAAUUUGGUUUAAUAUAGUUGCUACCAGCUAAUCUGAUUUCUUGGAAGAAACAAUGAAGAGAUGUGUCUAAACAUGACAUUCCAACAUCAUGGCAUGAAACAGAAAAGCAUCCACAAUGGCUAUUUAUUUUCUUAGUUUCCUCAUCUAUAAAAUGGGAAUAGUGUAAGCACCUCCUAAGUGGGAUAAUUACGCAUCCUAGUUUGCCCGGGUCAGUUUAUACCUUCUUCCCAGAAUAAUUAUUGAUAGUAAUGAUGUUCAUGUUCAUAACGUCCUGAAUUGAUAAGCCCUACAAAGUUGUUGUGGUGAUCCAUUACAUUAGAGCACUUCUUAGACAUAGUAGGUGUUUGAUACGUGGUAGAGCAUGUUAUAUAUCAUCCUCAUCACUCUAGUCAUUUCUGCAACCUCCAAAGGCUCAGAAUGUCAGAUCACUUCCCACCUAGGCAAGAAGUAGAAAAGAAGCUCCCAGACAGGUGGCUUCUGCCCUAGGAUCAUUGAGGGGUUUGUUCUGCAGGCAUGUGCUGUGUUUCAGGUGGCCUCACCCACCAGGCUCCUUGCUGUCUACCUUGUCACAAGCUGAUUUCUGCCCUGCUCAUCAGUCCACACCUCAGCCCAGUUUGGUCCCAGCAAGGACCAAACCAAAACUAUUUAUAUACUGAUAUGGUUUGGAUUUGUGUCCCUGCCCAAAUCUCAUGUCAAACUGUAAUUCCCAAUGUUGGAGGAGGGGCCUGGUGAGAGAUGACUGGAUCAUGGGAGUGAAUUUUCCCCUUGCUGUUCUCAUGAUAGUGGGUGAGUUCUUGCUAGAUCUGGUUGUUUAAGAGUGUGUAGCACCGCCCCGCUUCCGCUCUCUUCCCCCUGCUCCAUGUAAGACGUGCCUGCUUUCCCUUCGCCUUCCACCAUGAUUGUAAGUUUCCUGAGGCCUCCCCAGAAGCAGAAGCCUGUAUAGCCUGCAGAACCGUGAGCCAAUUAAACCUCUUUUCUUUAUAAAUUACCCAGUUUUAGGUAUUUCUUUAUAGCAGUGUGAAAAUGGACUAAUAUAGAUACUUACCUUUUGAGGUGUCUUUUUUGGUCUGUACAUUAAUAAAGAACAACAUUGGUUUGCUCAAUAUAGUUUCCCUGUAGUCUUUAUAAUCACAGUAGUUGGUCAGUUCCACAUACCUAUGAAGAAGCAGAGAUCAUUGCAAAUGUAACGUACCCUUUCAUCUAAAUUAGGAAGGGGAUGUACUGGACAGGUAUCUGCCACAGCCACAGACCUUGGAGGGAAGUUCCUUGAAAUGCAUCCUUACAGAGGUCACCAUAUAAACGAAUCUUUCUGGUCAUGGCUGAUUGGCUCAAGGAUCAGCGUGCAGCCCACAGGCAGCCAUGGCCCUAGGGGUGUCCUGGCAUCAACACUUGGCUCUCAGACUUUACCAGAUGAUCACCAGUAUCAUCUGUCGUUUGGGCUAAAAGCGUUCAUUUGAAGCUAUAAGAGCUCUAAGUCCCUCUGAAUUGAUAAUGAAUUCGACAUAAUAGUAGAAUUAGCUGAAUUUUCUCCAGUGGAGUCAUCCUGUUUAACUUGUGGGUCUUGAAUUUUCCUUUCCUUCUCCCCACUUCCCCACUAAUCCCAAGAUAAACCAGCCCCCUCCAUAGAUUACAGAAUCAACCAAUAUUCAUAUGAACUAUUACUAGUUCACAUCUCUCCUACGCUGAACUUGUGUAAUUAAAAAACGAAAACAACUGAUGUUGGACUUUUCACUACAUCCUUGUUAAAUUUAGCCUUUUUGGUUUUCAUUAUUCUCAUUUAGGAAGAUCUUUCUGAAUCCUGACUCUGUCAUCCAGCAUGUUAGCUUUCUUCCCUGCCCUUCACAUCUUCCAAGCAGCCUAGCUACAUCCCUGUCAGCAUUGUUCAUAAAAAGGUCCAAGUGCAGAUUAGCUUCCUUCAAGAAGUUAGUUAAUUUUCUAACUAAACCCAAGCUCAGAUGCCAUGUGGAUGUAGGUAGGCUGAAUGGCCCCCAGCAGGCUGAAGGAUGCGUCUGCCGCAGUCUCUCUGAAACACAGAGCUGGUUCCCCAUUGACACAGCUGCGAGCAUCUGCACGGAGCGAAUGGCUGGCUGAGCUGAGCGCGCGGGCUGCCUUUUGCUACACCACAGCAUGUUUGUUUCUUAUAUCUAGUCAUCAGCAGAGACAGCUCCAAGCAAUUCUUUCUGGCUGAUUGUCCUUCCAGUGCCUGACAUGAAAAUCACAGCCUUGGCGAGAAAACAGCCGCUGCAGGGAGUGGUGCCCACAGUACUCUAGGCAUCCCUCACCUGCGUCCACUUCCCACCAUCCCUCGGAGGGGCCAGCACACAAGACAGUGACCGGGGCAUGUGUCAAGAGCAUGCGAGAGAAUAUCUACCCUGAGGCAGGAAAACACGGCUUCCGCUCGGCUGUCUCCCAGCUUGGUUUCUUAGAAAUCUAUGUCAUUAUCUUUCUGCUGGGAUUGUCAGACCUGAUUUUGAGAGCAUUUAAAACCUGACCCCUGAUGGAGCCUCUAAAAUGCUUCCUGUCUUCUAUUUCACCAAGCUUUUAAAGCAGUCUCCACCUCCCACCACAUCUGUAGUGGUGGCUGCUUGGGAGCUGUUCCUGGGGUAGGGAGGGGAACAUGGGGCUGCAGUGUUCCAGAGAAGAAAAAGGUGGGUGUGGAUGUUGAUGCUCACGGAGUGGGUGAGGAUGGCAGGAGUAGAGGAGAGGACGAUGGGAAUGGAGGAGGGGCGCUGGGGUGGGGCGCUGGGGUGUUACAAGGGAAUGGAUGGCCAGGUAAGAGAAUGCAGACCCACACAUGGCUUUGGUAUGGGUCUUCCUUCACCCCUCCCCUGCCCUCAUCCUCACCUGGGCAGAACAGGAGAAAGGGGGUGAGAUGGGGGAACCUCAGGAGACUGAGGGGAGUGGUGCUGGUGUUGCACAUCAGCUGGGAGAGAAUUUUCCUGCCCUUUUUUUUAUCCCAGUUGACCAACUGCCAAAAGUUACUAGAGAAAGAAAGCAAAGGAGAAGGCAGGAAAAAGAAAACCACCAUUUGCUGGGCUCAUUCAUUCAUUCACUGAGUAACUUCAUUGAGUCCUGCUGAUGAGCCGGGCACCAGGUGAGCAUUUACAUGUGUCUCAUUGCCUUCUUGUGCUGGAGGGGCUCAGAGUCUAGAAAGGGGACAGUGGACGGAGGCAGUGCAGGGCGCCCCUGUGCUCGCCCGUCCCUCUUGCCAUCCAUCUAUUCAGCGGCCAAACACCCAGCACAAAUAUCAUAGAUAUUUCAGAAUUACUAUGCAAAUAUUGCUUCUACAUAUUGAAUAUUUAUCAUAGUUGCUGAAAUCAUCAUUAGGCAGGCAGGUAAGAGUGGCUUGGGAAGGGGGUGAAGAGAAGGUGAAGUAUGUUGUUACGUGGGGGGUGAGGAUACAGAGGGAGAAAAGAGAAAGAAAACCCCUGUAGCAAAAGAGGAAGGAAAGGGCAAGUCUGGUUGACAUAAACAUAACAAAAUAGAUGGGUGAUGCGGGAGGAGUUGGGGAGCAGGCUCCACCUAUGACCCAUUCGAGGCAGGUUUCCCAUUAUCCUACCAUCCUGUUUACAUGGAGUUCAGUCAUGGUCAUUUCAGCUCCUUUACUACAUUCCUCGGGGAGAUUCCUCUAUUCUUUCAAUAUCUGGAGUCUGAUUGUCAUUCUUAAUGGAAAGCGCAUGGCAUUUGUGUACAAUGCACCCAGAAAUCUGCAGUUUUGAUGCCUUUUCUGAUGACACAAAUGCUAGUGCAGUAUGUCCCUCUGCGUACAAAAUUGAUUGACAUCCAAUGGGUCAGUGAUCCCACAGAUAAAAAUCUCAACUUACAAAUGAUCUCUGGUUCAGAGAACAAUCAGUUUUCCCUGGAAUUUGGUGGAAGGCUUUUUUCAAUGCUACUGGGCUCAAAGAGCAGGUAUUUGGCAUGGUCACAGAAGGAAGCCUGCUGGAUAGCCACAUGUUGAGUGUAAUGUAUGACCUACACAUGAGCUAUCCAUUUUCAAGCCUGAAUUUCAUAAAACACCUUGGAUAAUAAAACUACAUGCAACAUAAUUUAAUCUGCCUUUGAUGAUUCAGGGGUACUUGAAUUUCAGCUCCUUAACCAGGCUGUAAACCUCAUCACAGUGCAUGCCAGUUAUCACUGUAGCACAGAUGUGUAAAAACACUGCUUAUAGAAGACCUCUGAUGCCAGAACUUACAGACAAGAGAUUGUGCCAAGAUCCCUACUUAAUAAGCUCCCUAACUCUAACCAGGCCACAGAUAAGAAAUACCUCAUUAAUUCCUCCAUCCCCAGCCUCCCAGUUAUGGUCCAAUUGUUAAGCACCUUGAAAUUCCAUUGAAAUAAAUAAAUGUGAGCAUUCACUAAAACACGAUAAGAUCGGAGAAUUUAGUUGUUAAGGUGCACAGAUAUUUAAGUUUCUGACAUGUAAUCACUGGUUUUAGUUUAAGACUAUCCUUACUAGAUUAUAUUAGGGACUAGUUAUUUGAUCUUCUUUGUUUGUGUGUUCGUUUGUUUGUUUUUUGAGAUGGAGUCUCACUCUUUCACCCAGGCUGUAGUGCACUGGCACAGUCUUGGCUCACUGCAACCUCCGUCUCCCAUGUUCAAGCAAUUCUACUGCCUCAGCUUCCCAAGUAGCUGGGAUUACAGGCGUGCACCACCAUGCCCAGCUAAUUUUUGUAUUUUUAGUAGAGACAAGGGUUUCACCACAUUGGCCAGGCUGGUCUCGAACUCCUGACCUCAAAUGAUCUGCCUGCCUCAGCCUCCCAAAGUGCUGGGAUUACAGGUGUGAGCCAUCACACCCGGCCUUUAAUCAUAGAUAUUUCAGAAUUACUAAUGCAAAUAUUGCUUCUACAUAUUGAAUAUUUAUCAUAGUUGCUGAAAUUAUUAUCAUUAGGAAUGAAAAGCAAACACUUUAAGAUAGACAGUUUCUUUAAAAUCUCAUUUCUUCAUUGCUUUACCCUGGCCCCAAAAUGCUUCUGGGGUGAAAGUUUCUAAGCUUGGCUUCAAUCCAAAGAUUAAAAGGCAGGGCAAAGCCGGGCGUGGUGGCUCACAUCUGUAAUCCCAGCACUUUGGGAGGUCAAGACAGGAGGACUGCUUGAGGCAAGGAGUUGUAGACCAGCCUGGGCAACACAGUUCCAGACCAGCCUAGGAAAACCUUGCCUCUACAACAAAUUUUUAAAAUUAGCCAGGUGUGGUGGUGCAUGCCUAUACUCCUAGCAACUCAGGAGGCUGAGGUGGGAGGAUUGCUGGAGUCCAGGAAUUCCAGGCUGCAGUGAGUUAUGACUGCACCACUGCACUCCAGCCUGGGUGACAGAGCAAGACCCUAUCUCAACAAACAAACAAACAACCCAAAGCAACCAGCCAAACAAAAAACCCCAGCAGGACAAUGUAAUGGGAAACACAGUAUUUCAAAAUAAGAUCUAAUUCAAGUCCUGAUUUGCUGGCUAUGUGAACUCAAUUCCAGAGCCACAACUCACUAUGACCUUGAGGGACUUCUUUAACCUGUCUGCACCUGUUCACUCAUCUGUGGAAAGGGCAUAACAGUAUUUUUUCCCUCAUGAUGAGUAAAUGCAGUACAUGCAAUGUAGACAUACGAAUUUGAACCCAUAGUAGAUGCUUGAUAAACAUCAUGAGUAUCUCUAAUCCUGGCCAACUUGGCAAACCCAUAGGACGAAGCUCUGUAAACUUCUGACUCCCAACCAGGGCUGUGUUCAUUUGAGUUCCCAGGAAAUAAGGAAAAUAUCAGCAUCUGAUAAAUGAGCAAGAGUUGCUCCUUCCUUGUUCCAAUUUCUUUCCUCAUUUUUUCAGUUUAGGAGGCUAAAGGGAACAGCUUAAUGACAGCAACAUCUGAAAAGGAGGACCAAAAAAGAGCAUUGUGUUUUGCUUCUAGCAAAUCAGGAGCCACUGAAAGAUGGCCCACCUCUAAGACACCCAACUUUCAAAGCUGCCCCAAAUUUCCCUUGGCUCUAACAAUUUCUGCUCAAUGACAAAUAGGAAUUCAAAUCCUUCAUGGCCUCCAUCAAAGGGUGGGGUGUGUGUGUGUGUGUGUGUGUGUGUUCAUUAAAAAAAAUAUGGACAGUUGAGCAGAGAAAAAGAAGAACACACAGUGCAAUAGUCUGUGUAGGAGGCCCAGGAACUGCUUGCCACCAUCAUAAUUCUUUGCUGUGACACUAAGCAAAAGCUUGCAGAGCCAUUUUACUCUUGGGGGAAGCAGGCUGCCCCUGCCAUGACUUUCCAGUGUUAGCUUGAUCGCCUUACACAGAGUCUCGCCCUAAUCUCUUUUCCCUUCUUCCCUCCGCCUUCUGCCCUAGUUCUACUGAAAUAAAGCAAAAUUUUUAGACUUCUCACUCUAAUGUGUGUGGCUCACACAGACAUUAUUCAAGGGUACACAUAUUCAUGCAUUCAUUCCUUAAGGAAUUAUUGACACUUAGUGUGUGUAAAACUCUGAUGGGGCAGAGAAUGAUUCAUUCAUUUAUGCAUGGAAGGAACGAUUACUGAGUACCUACUGUGUGCUGGGCACUGGGGACACAGAGAUGAGAAAGGAAACAGCCUUGCUUUUAAGAAGCAUAUAGUCUCCUAGGGAGACAGAUGAGAAAAUACACCAUUUUGGUAUGAAAUGAUGAAUGUAUAACCUUCUUGCUCAAAGUGUGAUCCUUGGACUAACAGCACUGGAAUCACCUGGCAUGAUGAAAAAUCCAGGGCUCCCCCCAUAAUAAAUCAGAAUCUGUGUUUUAACAAGGUCUCCAGGAGACUUGCAUGCUUAUUUAAAGUUUGAGAAGCACUGGUCUAAGACAUGGUCCCUGCUAUUCAUAGGCUUGCAAACUGGUAAAUCAUUCAAACAUACUAAUGCCAGAGAAAUGCAUAGUUCUCUGUAUUCACGUGUCCAGGCUCCACUGGGUUCUCCCCUAGUCAGUUAAGCCAAGGGGAGCAAGUCAGGAGGGGCCUGGGGUUAUAGCCACGUACUGGGGUAAGAUGGGUAGUAGGAGAGAUAUUGUCCUGUCAAGCCAAACAGCCCACAAGGAUUGGACAAGAGCAGGGGCAGGGAGCACCCCAGGAAGAGUCACAGCCUAGCCCAUCCAUGAGGACUAUGGGGUGGCUGCACGCAGGCAGGCAGGCAGGUAGGUGGCAAGGACCAGGGGGGCUGAGAGUAGAAAGGAGACCCAAGUGUGGCUGCAAGUCCAGAGCCUGGCUCUGAAGAAGGCAAGCAGGAAAGAUGGUCAGGUGGCACAUUGCUGUAGACUCAUCAGAUCUGAGUGUGAUUUCUGUCUCUGUGACCUCAGCUAGUGUUUUAACCUUGCAGACAUUCAUUUUCCUCACCUGUAGAAUCUGGCUAAAAAAAGGCACCCCAUGAGUGGCUAAGAGAUUCAAUAAUGUGUGUAAAGCUCUUGGCUUCUGGUGCUGCUUAAUGGUAUUAUUACUAUUCCCACUUUAUAGUUGAGGAAAUGGAGUCCCAUGGACAAUAAGUAAAUUUCCCAAGGUCAUUCAGCUCGCAAAGAGCAGAGCCCUUCCUCUAGACUGACUCUCCUAAAAAUCUCACAGCUCAAUGCAUGGAUGGUUAUUAUUUCACCAACAUCACUGUGUGUCCUGCUAAGGGGCUGCUGUCCUAAGCAGGUUGCUACAUCUAAGACCACAUCUUCCAACCUCCCAGCCUCAAGUUGGAAUCUCUUCUGAGAACUGGGCCUGGGCCAGCAGACAGAGCCCAGCACUUCCCACUGCAGGAUGGAGGUGAGGCUUCCCCCAGUAAACUUCCAAGUGUGUUCCAGCCCUACUGUCCUCAUUUUACCCCUAUGAGUGCCGCUUCACCUCACCUGCAUUCUCCGCCCUGAGUAGGUGUGACUGUCACCCAUCCAGGAGCAGGUCACAGCUCUGCUUUUAGUGGCUUCCUUAAAAUCACUGCACUUACUUACUUUUGUAGGCUGAUUGUACAAAAUGUGCACUAGCUGACAUAAUUCCAGUUAUUUAUUUGUAGAUUCAGGAAAUGAGUGAGAAAGCAAGAUUAUUUCAGGUUCAAAGUAAUUUGCUGAAAGCAUAGGUUCUCCUGGUUCUCCCACUUAGCAGCAUCUUACCUAGGUAAAUUACUUAAGCUCUGAGUCCUAAUGCUUACAUCUGUAAAAAGGAGAAACAACAGUAAUGCAAACUUUGUAAACUUUUAUGAGAUAGUAGCUGUGAAAUACUUUACACCAUUCGAGUAAAUGUUAGUAGCCACCAUUUCUAUUGUAUUUAUUUUUAUUCUCCAGGCAGCCUCUUUCAUGCUAGGGGAGCACCAAAAAGAAGGGACUCCAGGUCUUCUUUGCCAAACGUUUGCCAUUAUAUUUCACCAAGAGGCUGCUUUAUAGGAAAAAACAUGUGUGUGUGUGUGUGUGUGUGUGUUUGUGUGUGUGUCGUAGUUAAUGGUAAUUUUGACUUUUAAGUAUUGAAUGAAUGGCUCCCUGAAUGACCAUUACCCACAUCUCGUGUCCUGAGCACAUUGUGUUUACAACAUGGGCGAAAAUCCUGAUCUUGAAAGAAAAUAAUAAAAAUAAAGAUCUUGCCAUAAAUCCUACAAAAUAGGACAAAUAUUUUUAAAGUAGGUUUUUGAAGGAGCUUUAGAGCUGGUGGUCAUCACUAAACCUUCCCACUAUGCUGGAUUUCUUUAGGUUACUUAGUAGGUAUGUACUUAGAAAAAAUGUUAAAGUAUUAGAAAAUGAACCUAAGUAGGGCUGCUAAAAUCAUCCUGUUGCUCUCUUAGCGAGUGAAUAACCUGAAAGUCAAGGUCGGUGGCUCUUAGCCUUUCGGGGUUCCUUGGAAAAGGGCCUCAUGAAAGCCACAGUACAUACUUAUGAGGUCCCAGAAAGAAAUUCUAAUUACACCAGGGGCUUAUCCCAUAUGCCAAAAAUAUUUGUUGAGUUAAAAAGAACUAAUUAAUUAAUAGAGCAAGGAUUCUUAACCUGGGUCCAAGUAUCUCAUGAACAUCCUGGAUGGUCAGCAAAAAUUGGGUAUAUAUUUACAUUUCUGGGGAAUCUACGUAGAAUUCUCAAAAGUUCUAUGGUCCAAAAUGAUUAAGAACCAUUUUGCCUUUUGGGAUCCCUGGCCAUCUUGGUGGCUGCUUUUGGUUAGAGGCCAUCCCACAUCCAAGGCCAGAAUAUGGUGGCCGCAAAGAAGACGAAAAGUCACUGGAGUCCAUCCACUCUAGGCUCCAACCCAUUAAGGGUCAAAAAUACAAGCUGGGGCAAUCCGGCUCUGAAGAUGAUAGACAAGGCAAAGUGAAACCGGUCAUCCCCACCAACUGCCUGGCCUCGAGGAAAUCUGAAAUACAGAACUAAGGUGCAUACUCUCAAAACUGCCAUCUACCACUCCAGCAGUAAUAACAUUAAAUUGGGCACAGCAUGUGGAAAAUACCAUAGCAAGUGCACCCUGGUGUCACUGAUCCAGGGAAUGCUGAGAUUUUUUUUUUUUUUUUUUUUUUUUGAGACAGGGUCUCACUGUGUUGCCUAGGCUGGAGUGCAGUGGCACCAUCUCGGCUCACUGCAAGCUCCACCUCCAAGAUUCAAGCCAUCCACCUCCCACCUCGGCCUCCUGAGCAGCUGGGACCACAGGUGCAUGUCACUAUGCCCAGCUAAUUUUUGUAGACAGGAGGUCUCACUAUGUUGCCCAAGCUGGCCUCGAAGUCCUGGACUCAAGCAAUCCGCCCACCUCAGCCUCCCAAAGUGCUGGGAUUACAGGCAUGAGGCACUGCACCCAGCCCUGAGAUCUUUGGAAGCAUGCCAGAACAGACUGGUGAAAAUAAAUCAUGCAAAUCUUUAAUAAAACUGGCCAGAGCUUAUUUUUCAAAAAGAAGGAAGGAAGGAAGGGAGGGAGGGAGGGAGAGAGGGAAGGAAGUGGGGAGGGAGGGAGGGGAGGGAGGGAGGUUUUAUGCUAUCUCUAAAGCCAAAAACAACUGGCAAAUUUGGCAGCUCAGAGGAACGAAGCUUUAGAUAUCUGAGUUCUGGCUUCGGCAUACCUCCCACCUCCUGAUUCCCGAGGGCAGAACCUCUCACUGCUGCCCACAGUCCAGUCCUCCCCCUCUGCCUGGAAGGCUGUCUCCAUUUAGACCACAUUCCCUCCUGGCCAUCCUUCAGGACUGCACACUCAGUUAUAAAAGCCUCCUUCCCUGCCUGAGGACAAUAGAUAGCUCCUUCCAUCACCCAAAUUAUUUUCAGAGGCUCCUUGCUAUUUCCCAGGUACAAAAGAAGCCCUCACAGUAUUGCUUAUACAAUGAUAGCCUAUUAUUUGUUGUUUUGUAUUUGCACCCUGGUCUGUGUUACCUGGUCACUGUGGCCCAGUUGUUUAUUCUAGAUUCAAAGCUGUCAGGGGAAUCACUGUUGUUUAAUUUUCUUUUGUGUAGGAGGUGUUCAAAGCAAAAGUUAGAUGACAGACUUCAAAAUCAUUUCAGAUUCUGCAGCACUGUUUGCUACAAUUAGGAGAACUGGUUCUGUCAAAACCCUAACUUACGGCUUCGUUCAUUCUGGACAUUUUUAUUUUUCAUACCCUGCUCUCAAAUACAAUGGGUAUCUUCUUUUUAAAUCUGCACACAUCUGACUCAGUUCCUCCCACAGUCCUCCGCUUAUGGUUUGGAAUUGGAAUUUUCAUUUCACUAAGAAAGGGAGAAAUUCUUGCUGGGGAAUGGUUCUUCAGGCAUUCAGAGCCCUCACUAUCUUUGGAAAAGCAAGGUUUUUUCUCCAAGAGUUUUGAAGACUGCACGUUCAAUAUCUCAUUUUGUUUGCUUCCCUCUCUUGGCUCCCUCCUACCCACAGGGUGCCACAGCACGCUGUCUUUCCCAGUAGCAAAGGCGCUGUGUCUCAAAAGCUGGCUAUCUUAUUCAUUUCUGAGUCAAACUCUAGACCAUGCUUGCCUCUUCAGGCACUUGGCUCUCUCAGCACAAAUAUAACAGGUCUUUGCACUCCAGGCCCUUGCCAAGAGUGAACUCUGGAGGCCUGAGGCCAUGUGGAAUCAGGCCUGAAGUGCCCUCCUUUACCCUGUGGCACCAAAGCCUGCUUCAGAUGGCUGGGCCACAUCCUGCCGGUCUGCCAAGAAGAGCUUGGGGGCACUCUGGCCACAACAGUCAAGCAUCCUGGGGGCCUCCUUCCCAUUAAGGCCCUCAGGUUUCGCACUUAUUUCCCCAGAACUUAUCUGUGCCUUCCACAGCCCACAUGGCCCCGGGCUGGACUUCCAGGGGCUUUGUUCCCUUCUCAGCUGCGGUUUAUUUGUUUACUUUUGAAACACGAAGUGAGGCCAGAGAUGGGAAACUUUGAGCUUUUGCAUGCUUCUCCACUCGGUCUCCUCACUGGAGAGGGCUGGCAGUGCUCAGAAUGGUGCAUGCCCCCUGCUCCUCACCGCCACCCAUGCUCCAAAGCCAGGAUGUGAGUCUUGCAGAGCUGCAGACAGCCCCUAAAGGGUGUGCUCCCAAUUUGAGCUCAUCUGACCCAGUUAAGGAGCCAGAAUGGGAGAAGCAUCUGCCACUCAUGAGCUCUGGCUGGGGGGCCCCUGCCCUCCCCCUCGCCCCCAGUCCUGAUGCCCUUCUGGGCGGCUUCAAGCAGCAGCUGCAAAAUGUCAGUGCAAGAGGCAGAAGAACCAGGGCGAGCGUGCAGGCUCCGGGUGAUAGAAGCAGAAGGAAAGUCUAGAAGCGCACGGAGCAAGGGGCCACGCGGUGUCGCAGGCAGCGAGGACAGCCCAGGCUCCCAGAGACCGCAGCCGGGUGGAGGCGUCUGCGGGUACCAGGCGACGGGCCAGGGCGCACGGCGAGGCCACCCACCUCUUGAUGUAGCUGCUGAGGCGGUAGAGCUGCCCGUCGAGGCGCACGAGGCCGUCACCGAAGACGUUGAAGCCCCCCCGC
rnacentral:lncRNA from 1 species